GAUGAACGCUAGCUACAGGCUUAACACAUGCAAGUCGAGGGACCGGCGCACGGGUGAGUAACACGUAUCCAACCUGCCCUUUACUCGGGGAUAGCCUUUCGAAAGAAAGAUUAAUACCCGAUAUAAAGGAUGGGGAUGCGUUCCAUUAGGUUGUUGGUGAGGUAACGGCCCACCAAGCCUUCGAUGGAUAGGGGUUCUGAGAGGAAGGGCCCCCACAUUGGAACUGAGGCACGGGCCAAACUCCGACGGGAGGCAGAAGUGAGGAAGAGUGGUCAAUGGGCGCUAGCCUGACCCAGCCAAGUAGCGUGAAGGAGGAAGGCUGAUGGGUCGUAAACUUCUUUUAUAUAAGAAUAUGUAUUAUAUGAAUAAGGAGCGGCUAACUCCGUGCCAGCCGCCGCGGUAAUAC
rnacentral:rRNA from 1 species